GACGAACGCUGGCGGCGUGCCUAAUACAUGCAAGUUGAGCGCUGAAGGUUGGUACUUGUACCAACUGGAUGAGCAGCGAACGGGUGAGUAACGCGUGGGGAAUCUGCCUUUGAGCGGGGGACAACAUUUGGAAACGAAUGCUAAUACCGCAUAAAAACUUUAAACACAAGUUUUAAGUUUGAAAGAUGCAAUUGCAUCACUCAAAGAUGACCCCGCGUUGUAUUAGCUAGUUGGUGAGGUAAAGGCUCACCAAGGCGAUGAUACAUAGCCGACCUGAGAGGGGGAUCGGCCCCAUUGGGACUGAGACACGGCCCAAACUCCUACGGGAGGCAGCAGUAGGGAAUCUUCGGCAAUGGACGAAAGUCUGACCGAGCAACGCCGCGGGAGUGAAGAAGGUUUUCGGAUCGUAAAACUCUGUUGGUAGAGAAGAACGUUGGUGAGAGUGGAAAGCUCAUCAAGUGACGGUAACUACACAGAAAGGGACGGCUAACUACGUG
rnacentral:rRNA from 1 species